rnacentral:tRNA from 1 species
GGGCCCGUAGCGCAGUCAGGAAGCGCGGCGACCCGCAUAAAGGAGCCGUAAGCCUUCUAGGUCGCUGCGAAGAUAGCCGCAGGUCCCGGGUUCAAGUCCCGGCGGGCCCGCCA